rnacentral:rRNA from 1 species
AUUGGGGAAUUUUCCGCAAUGGGCGAAAGCCUGACGGAGCAACGCCGCGUGAGGGAUGAAGGCCUCUGGGCUGUAAACCUCUUUUAUCAAGGAAGAAGAUCUGACGGUAUUUGAUGAAUAAGCCACGGCUAAUUCCGUGCCAGCAGCCGCGGUAAUACGGGAGUGGCAAGCGUUAUCCGGAAUUAUUGGGCGUAAAGCGUCCGCAGGCGGUCUGUCAAGUCUGCUGUUAAAGCGUGGAGCUUAACUCCAUUUCGGCAGUGGAAACUGACAGACUAGAGUGUGGUAGGGGCAGAGGGAAUUCCCGGUGUAGCGGUGAAAUGCGUAGAUAUCGGGAAGAACACCAGUGGCGAAGGCGCUCUGCUGGGCCAUAACUGACGCUCAUGGACGAAAGCCAGGGGAGCGAAAGGGAUUAGAUACCCCUGUAGUCAAU